rnacentral:rRNA from 1 species
GUUUGAUCCUGGCUCAGGAUGAACGCUAGCGGCAGGCUUAACACAUGCAAGUCGAGGGGUAACAGGAGUAGCUUGCUACUUGCUGACGACCGGCGCACGGGUGCGUAACGCGUAUAGAAUCUACCUUGUACUAGGGGAUAGCCUUUGGAAACGAAGNUUAAUACCCUAUAGUAAGUAUUUAUGGCAUCAUUUAUACUUUAAAGGUUACGGUACAAGAUGACUAUGCGUCCUAUUAGUUUGUUGGUGAGGUAACGGCUCACCAAGACUUCGAUAGGUAGGGGCCCUGAGAGGGGGAUCCCCCACACUGGUACUGAGACACGGACCAGACUCCUACGGGAGGCAGCAGUGAGGAAUAUUGGACAAUGGAGGCAACUCUGAUCCAGCCAUGCCGCGUGCAGGAUGACGGCCCUAUGGGUUGUAAACUGCUUUUAUGUAGGAAGAAACACUCUCACGUGUGAGAGCUUGACGGUACUACAAGAAUAAGGACCGGCUAACUCCGUGCCAGCAGCCGCGGUAAUAAGGGCGAAUU